GGAAGGGUUAUAUUCGUAGAAGAAGCUAAAAGCAGAUCAGAUAUCUCCAGAGGUAAACCCAGACCAGACUACCCCAAAGCUCAAUCAAAACCUCGCACCUUUCGUACGUGGUAGCUGUUUUGAUUCUGUCUUCAUACUGUGUAAUGAAUUGUAAAAUUUUGAUCUACCUUCUUAGAUUAUACAAUGGAGUCACUUGUCAACUCCUACCAUGGUUUUACUAGUCUAAACUAAAAUUAACAUUUUUAAAAAUAACAUUUGCCAUGUCAAAAAAUGCAUAAUAUAGCCUUCAAAAUAUAUUUUUCCUUACGAUUAAUAAGUUUACUUAUGAAUCACAGUUUGUGAUAGAAAAUAAUUUCAAAUCAAAAAUUAGGCUUUACCUAUGUUGACGAAUCAAUGAUAAUGUAGCAGAUGACAAAAAAAAAAAAAAGAUUACUUAUUCUUUUCAGAAUCUACCUACAUUAUUUGUGUUAAUUAUAUUGGUCCAAUUUACAAAAAAAAAAACGUAUAUGUGAAGUACCAAAAUUACCCUAAAUAAAUCAAAGUUUUGUGUAGUAAGUUGAGGGGAUAGGGUCCGGCGAAGAAGGAGAAGAUGACAAUGGCAGUGAGCUUAGGGAUAGUUGUCGUUCCGUCGUGUUCCGGAGAUCGCGUCUUCCGAUCUAACUUCUCGCCCGUCUGUAGCGUCUCUUGCGGCCGAAUCAAUGUCGGAACCGUCGUAAUUUCGACUCGCCGACGCCGUGAUAUGGGCGGGUUAAUGAUUUCUAGCUGUAUCUCUUCGGAUUCUUCUUCUUCUUCGUCAUCGUCUUCCUCUGUGCCAAAGACGAAACUCUUUGUUAGUGGUAAGUAAGUUUUAUGUUUCCAGUUUCUUCAUCUGCUCAUCACCCUAAUUCGUGAAAGAUGCUUCUGUUAUGGAAUUUUCGUGUUAUAUACUCUGUGAUUCUUUUAGUGUUUCGUUAAGUAGUAUUCAAUUAUAUUAUGCGGCUGUUCACUGAGGAUACAGACAUUGAGCGCAACCCUGUCAUUUUCUUUGAUAAACUUAGAAGUUAAGAUAUCUCCAAAACCUUAAGAGCGAUGACAUUUGUGGCGCUUGCUUGUCACCAAUUACAUAGUUAACAAUUUUACAUGUUAAAAUCCUUUGUUGGGUGUUUAAAAAUGUAGAGUGAAAGGUAUGACAAACUUAUCCAGGGUGUAGAACCUUUCAGUUUGUUGUGGUAUAGCCUGACUCCUUGAGGAAAUGUCUCUGUUUGGUUUCUUUCAGGAAUAGGUCUGAAAUCGGAGACUAUUAGAGUUACUUUUUAUAUGUUUACAGUGUUUGUACCUAAGACAUUGUCAGAUUUGUUGUAAAGACAGGGAAUGAUUUUGGUUGGUGUGGAAGUAGAAUAAAUGGGUGUGAAGUUUUGAACUUCUGAUGAUCUGGGGAGAUUGAUAUCUUUAUUGUGUUAAUUGUGUUUGCUUUCAUUCGUUAUUGGACCUUGUGGUAUCACUCAGUAUUAUAGCUAAAUCGUUGUGAAUUAGAGCUUUAGACAGUGUUAAUGCUCUUUUAUGGUUUUAUCCACUUUUCACCUCUCUGCUUUCACCACAUGAGACUUGAACUCGAAACAAUAUGGACUUGAUUUUGUUGUUUUUGCACAGGGCUUUCAUUCCGAACAACUGAAGAUACCUUACGGGAUACAUUUGAACAGUUUGGCAAGCUUGUACACAGUAAGCAUAAAGCUCACUUUUGUUCUACUUCUGUCCACAUUCUACAAGUGUGUAACUCAUGUUCUUGCAUGCGUCCCCUCGUGUAGUGAACUUGGUGAUGGAUAAGGUAGCUAAUAGACCAAAAGGUUUUGCCUUCCUACGGUAUGACACAGAGGAGGAGGCUAUGAAAGCUAUUGAAGGGAUGCACGGAAAGGUAUACAGCUUAAUAUCACAGACUUAACUUCAUACUUCAAAUCGUUUUACUGGUGAUUGAUAACAAGAUAUUGGUUAAUAGCAAAUUCUGAUUUGGUGUUUAUACAGUUUUUGGAUGGAAGGGUUAUAUUCGUAGAAGAAGCUAAAAGCAGAUCAGAUAUCUCCAGAGGUAAACCCAGACCAGACUACCCCAAAGCUCAAUCAAAACCUCGCACCUUUCGUACGUGGUAGCUGUUUUGAUUCUGUCUUCAUACUGUGUAAUGAAUUGUAAAAUUUUGAUCUACCUUCUUAGAUUAUACAAUGGAGUCACUUGUCAACUCCUACCAUGGUUUUACUAGUCUAAACUAAAAUUAACAUUUUUAAAAAUAACAUUUGCCAUGUCAAAAAAUGCAUAAUAUAGCCUUCAAAAUAUAUUUUUCCUUACGAUUAAUAAUUUUACUUAUGAAUCACAGUUUGUGAUAGAAAAUAAUUUCAAAUCAAAAAUUAGGCUUUACCUAUGUUGACGAAUCAAUGAUAAUGUAGCAGAUGACAAAAAAAAAAAAAUAUUACUUAUUCUUUUCAGAAUCUACCUACAUUAUUUGUGUUAAUUAUAUUGGUCCAAUUUACCAAAAAAAAAAACGUAUAUGUGAAGUACCAAAAUUACCCUCAAUAAAUCAAAGUUUUGUGUAGUAAGUUGAGGGGAUAGGGUCCGGCGAAGAAGGAGAAGAUGACAAUGGCAGUGAGCUUAGGGAUAGUUGUCGUUCCGUCGUGUUCCGGAGAUCGCCUCUUCCGAUCUAACUUCUCGGCCGUCUGUAGCGUCUCUUGCGGCCGAAUCAAUGUCGGAACCGUCGUAAUUUCGACUCGCCGACGCCGUGAUAUGGGCGGGUUAAUGAUUUCUAGCUGUAUCUCUUCGGAUUCUUCUUCUUCUUCGUCAUCGUCUUCCUCUGUGCCAAAGACGAAACUCUUUGUUAGUGGUAAGUAAGUUUUAUGUUUCCAGUUUCUUCAUCUGCUCAUCACCCCAAUUCGUGAAAGAUGCUUCUGUUAUGGAAUUUUGUUGUUAUAUACUCUGUGAUUCUUUUAGUGUUUCGUUAAGUAGUAUUCAAUUAAAUUCUGCGGCUGUUCACUGAGGAUAUAGACAUUGAGAGCAACCCUGUCAUUUUCUUUGAUAAACUUAGAAGUUAGGAUAUCUCCAAAACCUUAAGAGCGAUGACAUUUGUGGCGCUUGCUUGUCACCAAUUACAUAGUUAACAAUUUUACAUGUUAAAAUCCUUUGUUGGGUGUUUAAAAAUGUAGAGUGAAAGGUAUGACAAACUUUUCCAGGGUGUAGAACCUUUCAGUUUGUUGUGGUAUAGCCUGACUCCUUGAGGAAAUGUCUCUGUUUGGUUUCUUUCAGGAAUAGGUCUGAAAUCGGAGACUAUUAGAGUUACUUUUUAUAUGUUUACAGUGUUUGUACCUAAGACAUUGUCAGAUUUGUUGUAAAGACAGGGAAUGAUUUUGGUUGGUGUGGAAGUAGAAUAAAUGGGUGUGAAGUUUUGAACUUCUGAUGAUCUGGGGAGAUUGAUAUCUUUAUUGUGUUAAUUGUGUUUGCUUUCAUUCGUUAUUGGACCUUGUGGUAUCACUCAGUAUUAUAGCUAAAUCGUUGUGAAUUAGAGCUUUAGACAGUGUUAAUGCUCUUUUAUGGUUUUAUCCACUUUUCACCUCUCUGCUUUCACCACAUGAGACUUGAACUCGAAACAAUAUGGACUUGAUUUUGUUGUUUUUGCACAGGGCUUUCAUUCCGGACAACUGAAGAUACCUUACGGGAUACAUUUGAACAGUUUGGCAAGCUUGUACACAGUAAGCAUAAAGCUCACUUUUGUUCUACUUCUGUCCACAUUCUACAAGUGUGUAACUCAUGUUCUUGCCUGCGUCCCCUCGUGUAGUGAACUUGGUGAUGGAUAAGGUAGCUAAUAGACCAAAAGGUUUUGCCUUCCUACGAUAUGACACAGAGGAGGAGGCUAUGAAAGCUAUUGAAGGGAUGCACGGAAAGGUAUACAGCUUAAUAUCACAGACUUAACUUCAUACUUCAAAUCGUUUUACUGGUGAUUGAUAACAAGAUAUUGGUUAAUAGCAAAUUCUGAUUUGGUGUUUAUACAGUUUUUGGAUGGAAGGGUUAUAUUCGUAGAAGAAGCUAAAAGCAGAUCAGAUAUCUCCAGAGGUAAACCCAGACCAGACUACCCCAAAGCUCACAGACUACCCCAAAGCUCAAUCAAAACCUCGCACCUUUCGUACGUGGUAGCUGUUUUGAUUCUGUGUUCAUACUGUGUAAUGAAUUGUAAAAUUUUGAUCUACCUUCUUAGAUUAUACAAUGGAGUCACUUGUCAACUCCUACUAUGGUUUUACUAGUCUAAACUAAAAUUAACAUUUUUAAAAAUAACAUUUGCCAUGUCAAAAAAUGCAUAAUAUAGCCUUCAAAAUAUAUUUUUCCUUACGAUUAAUAAUUUUACUUAUGAAUCACAGUUUGUGAUAGAAAAUAAUUUUAAAUCAAAAAUUAGGCUUUACCUAUGUUGACGAAUCAAUGAUAAUGUAGCAGAUGACAAAAAAAAAAAAAUAUUACUUAUUCUUUUCAGAAUCUACCUACAUUAUUUGUGUUAAUUAUAUUGGUCCAAUUUACCAAAAAAAAAACGUAUAUGUGAAGUACCAAAAUUACCCUCAAUAAAUCAAAGUUUUGUGUAGUAAGUUGAGGGGAUAGGGUCCGGCGAAGAAGGAGAAGAUGACAAUNNNNNNNNNNNNNNNNNNNNNNNNNNNNNNNNNNNNNNNNNNNNNNNNNNNNNNNNNNNNNNNNNNNNNNNNNNNNNNNNNNNNNNNNNNNNNNNNNNNNGUGAACUUGGUGAUGGAUAAGGUAGCUAAUAGACCAAAAGGUUUUGCCUUCCUACGGUAUGACACAGAGGAGGAGGCUAUGAAAGCUAUUGAAGGGAUGCACGGAAAGGUAUACAGCUUAAUAUCACAGACUUAACUUCAUACUUCAAAUCGUUUUACUGGUGAUUGAUAACAAGAUAUUGGUUAAUAGCAAAUUCUGAUUUGGUGUUUAUACAGUUUUUGGAUGGAAGGGUUAUAUUCGUAGNNNNNNNNNNNNNNNNNNNNNNNNNNNNNNNNNNNNNNNNNNNNNNNNNNNNNNNNNNNNNNNNNNNNNNNNNNNNNNNNNNNNNNNNNNNNNNNNNNNNGUGGUAGCUGUUUUGAUUCUGUCUUCAUACUGUGUAAUGAAUUGUAAAAUUUUGAUCUACCUUCUUAGAUUAUACAAUGGAGUCACUUGUCAACUCCUACCAUGGUUUUACUAGUCUAAACUAAAAUUAACAUUUUUAAAAAUAACAUUUGCCAUGUCAAAAAAUGCAUAAUAUAGCCUUCAAAAUAUAUUUUUCCUUACGAUUAAUAAU
rnacentral:lncRNA from 1 species